UAUUAAGUUUUAUCUAUUAAUCCAUUUUAUUAUGUGGGCUGUGUAGUACAUAUAGUAAUAUGUAUAUAAUACACACAUGUAUUGGGUGUGUUGAGGAGAAAGAAAGCCAUAAACCAGCUUCAGCUCCUAUCAACUCACAACCAGCUUUAUCUAUGUCCCUAUCCACUGAGCACAUUAAGCCAAGCUCUAUCCAUUAAGCAUUUUCAUCUUUGUAUUUAUCUAUAAAAGCUAAGGUUUCAAACAAGACAUUAUGUUACACCAAAAAAAAAAAAAAAAAAAAAAACUAGACGAGGGCUGGAGAGACGGCUCGGUGGUUAUGAGCACUGGCAGGUCUUCCAAAGGAUCAAAGUUUAGAUGUCAGCACCCCAACUCCAUAGGAUCCAACGGCUUCAUCCAACCCGUAUGAGCACCCCCACACACAGAGACUCACACAUACGCAUGAAUAAAUAAUAAAUCCUUAAAAUAAGAACUAAAAACCAGGCAAUAAUAAUUUAAUAUCAUUAAGUAUGCAAUUACCCUCAGCUUUUUUUUUUCUGAAAUUUACAACUGGUUUUGGUUCUAGACCUCUGUAUAUUUGAGUCAGUAUCCAAUAUGAUCCAUACAGUAA
rnacentral:lncRNA from 1 species